rnacentral:rRNA from 1 species
UACGUAGGGUGCGAGCGUUAAUCGGAAUUACUGGGCGUAAAGCGUGCGUAGGCGGUUCGUUAAGUCUGUUGUGAAAGCCCCGGGCUCAACCUGGGAAUGGCAAUGGAUACUGGCGAGCUAGAGUGUGUCAGAGGAUGGUGGAAUUCCCGGUGUAGCGGUGAAAUGCGUAGAUAUCGUAAGGAAGACCAGUGGCGAAGGCGGGUCUCUGGACAGUUCCUGACGCUGAGGCACGAAGGUCAGGGGAGCAAACGGG